GUAAUAAUCCUGUAGUCGAAAAUGUUGUCUCUCUUGAGUGGAUCCUGAGUACGACGGAGCACGUGAAAUUCCGUCGGAAUCUGGGAGGACCAUCUCCUAAGGCUAAAUACUCUCUAGUGACCGAUAGUGAACCAGUACCGUGAGGGAAAGGUGAAAAGCACCCCGGAAGGGGAGUGAAAUAGAACCUGAAACCGUGUGCUUACAAGUAGUCAGAGCCCGUUAAUGGGUGAUGGCGUGCCUUUUGUAGAAUGAACCGGCGAGUUACGAUUUGAUGCAAGGUUAAGCAGUAAAUGUGGAGCCGUAGCGAAAGCGAGUCUGAAUAGGGCGUUUAGUAUUUGGUCGUAGACCCGAAACCAGGUGAUCUACCCUUGGUCAGGUUGAAGUUCAGGUAACACUGAAUGGAGGACCGAACCGACUUACGUUGAAAAGUGAGCGGAUGAACUGAGGGUAGCGGAGAAAUUCCAAUCGAACCUGGAGAUAGCUGGUUCUCUCCGAAAUAGCUUUAGGGCUAGCCUCAAGUGAUGAUUAUUGGAGGUAGAGCACUGUUUGGACGAGGGGCCCCUCUCGGGUUACCGAAUUCAGACAAACUCCGAAUGCCAAUUAAUUUAACUUGGGAGUCAGAACAUGGGUGAUAAGGUCCGUGUUCGAAAGGGAAACAGCCCAGACCACCAGCUAAGGUCCCAAAAUAUAUGUUAAGUGGAAAAGGAUGUGGCGUUGCCCAGACAACUAGGAUGUUGGCUUAGAAGCAGCCAUCAUUUAAAGAGUGCGUAAUAGCUCACUAGUCGAGUGACACUGCGCCGAAAAUGUACCGGGGCUAAACAUAUUACCGAAGCUGUGGAUUGUCCUUUGGACAAUGGUAGGAGAGCGUUCUAAGGGCGUUGAAGCAUGAUCGUAAGGACAUGUGGAGCGCUUAGAAGUGAGAAUGCCGGUGUGAGUAGCGAAAGACGGGUGAGAAUCCCGUCCACCGAUUGACUAAGGUUUCCAGAGGAAGGCUC
rnacentral:rRNA from 1 species